rnacentral:lncRNA from 1 species
GUGCCCAUGUCCCCCUCUUAGACGCCUCCAUCCCCCUCACACCCCACCCAGCAUUACGCACCAGAGCCAUCGCAGAACAGAUUGCGGAAUUACCAUUAGAAUAUAAGGAGCCUGGCUGCUGCGGGCGGCAAAUGGAGAAACCGCUGCUGAAUAAGAGGCUACAAAAGGCCUUUGCUCCAUCGCUACAUCCCCAGAGUCCCACAAGAGACUGUUGAAGAUGGCACCUGACGAAGAAAACAACUCUUUGUCAAUGUGCAGGAAUUCAGUCCCUGGAGAUACGGUCUCACAAAAGGGAUACUGGACGUCACCAUGUUUUGCUGAACUGAGUGACCAGUGUUUCUUGGAAAAAACUCACCAAGUUGCUUCUCUACCCGCCAGAACUUGCCGCAAAUAAAUAAAAGUCAAUAUUCCUGGAACCCGGUCC